rnacentral:lncRNA from 1 species
CAAAUGUGUAUCACAUGAUUAUAAAUUCAUGACCACAUGAUCAAAGGGUCAAAAUGAUAACAACAUGACAUAAUCAAAUGGAUAUCCACAUAAUCAAUAUAUAACCACAAUUACAGCAUGGUCGAAAGGACUAAGCUUACACUGUUACAGCUGCCAUAUAAGAAUACUGGAGUCUGGCAUUCUGCAACAUACAUCACCCAGACAAGACAAAAAUUUAUCAUGUGUGCUUUAAGAACACAUUUCAUGUUUUUUUGAUAUUUUACAGUUAUCAUGGAGAUUCAAUAACUGCCCUUAAAAUAAGAGAUCAGCUAUAAAAAUGUCAAUAAGGGUACCCUCUGUGUAAAUUUAGAAAAAGUUAAUUAAGUGGUUGUUUGAAAAGAUCAAAUGUUAUAUAGCCAAUCUAUUGUUUAAGUUGUCAUUUUGUGUAGCUGUAAGGUAUAACUUCUAGUUUUAAUAGUUUCAAAAAAAUAGAUUCCUUUUCAAUGAUUUAUUUAUUUAAUGUCAUCAAAUAGGGCAAUUCUAUUGGUUAUCAAUGUUCAAAUAGAUAUCACACAAUCCAAUAGGUAUCACAGGUUCAAAUGGACAACCCAUGAUCAAAGGGUAAUACAUAGGUCGCACAUGAUCAAAAUGGUAAUACAGGAUCAAGAGGGUAUACCAUGACCAAAUGGAUAAUGCAGGAUCAAAAGGUUAUUACAUGAACAAAUGUGUAUCACAUGAUCAAAUGACCUAAUGACCACAACAGUAGCAUAUGAUCAAAUGAGUUAUUAUACAUGAUGAAACAUUAUAAGUUAUAUGGAACGCUACUGACCCCCUACGGAUCCAUAGAGGGUUAGUAAAAUCCAUAGGGGGUGAGACCGGAGGCCGA